rnacentral:misc_RNA from 1 species
UCGGGGGGACAGGACAGAACGUACAGUUGUUAGAUGGUUCCGAUAAAAUAAUAAAACAUUUUUUGUUUAGACGUAUUCAGAGCUUAUAACUAUGUGAUUUUUAACGUGUAUGACCAAAGUUGCGAUGUAAUAAUCAGUGUACAUAAAUGUGUUGUCAGUUUUUUUAUAUCAUAUUCAUAAAAUGAUGUCAAUUUGGAGAAGAGUUAAGGACCAGCAGGGAAUAGCUGUUCAUAAUUUUGAUCAAGAUGGACCGUACCGGCUGCGGCUGACUGUUGGUGAGGUCGUACAGUUGUUGGAAGAGUGUGACGAGUGGUAUUAUGGAUGUAGUAAAUACAAAGGAACUAGUGGAAUAUUUCCAAAGUCUUAUGUGCACAUAGUACAGCAAUCUACAAACUCAGAAGCUCUCACACACGAAAUAACUAGCGUGCUUAGAGAAUGGGGUCACCAUUGGAAACAUUUAUAUAUUACUCAUUCGCAGCAUUUUUCAACUAUUCAUCACGAAAUCACAGAGCUGAUUCGAUAUCGGAGUAAAAUUCUAAGCGCCACUCUAACAGUUGACGAAUUAAAAGAUAUGAAAAGAUUGGCAACUGCCAAAAUAGAUACUGGAAACCAGUUGCUUGGUCUGGACAUGGUAGUUCGUGACGAUCAUGGAAAUGUUUUGAAUCCAGAGCAAACGAGCACUAUACAGCUAUAUUAUCAUCAUGAAACAGCAGCGGAGAGAAUAAGAAAAGCAACAACUAGUCUAAAGAAAAAACCAGCAAAACUUCAGUCACCUGUAUAUUCUCACAUAUUUUUUGUUAGCGUCAGGAACUUUGUUUGCAAAAUGGCUGAGGAUGUUGAGCUGCUGUUGACAUUGUUUGACAGUAAGGAAAUGAGGGCAAUAACUGAAAACUACGUUGUAUGUUGGAGUCGUGAAGGUUUAGCUAGGGAUAUAGAUCAAUUGCACAAUCUCAGAGUACUUUUCACAGACUUGGGCUCUCGAGAUUUAUCCAGAGAAAAGGUUUAUCUAGUUUGCUAUGCUGUACGUGUUGGCAGCAUGGAAGCGAAGGAAAUAGACCAUCGAAGAUCCAGUAUUCUUCAAAACAGUCAGAAACAGAAAAACUCUGAUAACAUGAGAAGGCCUUUCGGAGUCGCGGCAAUGGAUAUUACUCCGUAUAUUAACGGGAAACUUGACGGCGAUGUAGAAACACAUCAUUUCAUUCCAUUUCUGCAAUGCUGUGAGAAAGAAAGCCUCGACGGAACACUGCGCAGAAUUCUUCAACAAAAAGAAACAACUAACCAAAAAGGUGGUGGUGGUGGUGGAAAUGCUGUUGGGGGCCAAGGACUUUGGGCUAGCGUUAAACUUCUCAGAGGGGACACUAAACAGGUACGAGAAGAAAAUCCACAUUUGGUACUUGGAAAUGUUGCGAUUGCUCGUAAAAUGGGAUUCCCUGAAGUGAUUUUGCCAGGUGAUGUGAGAAACGAUUUAUACCUUACUUUGAACUCUGGAGAGUUCAGCAAGGGAUCCAAAACCACUGAUAAAAACGUCGAAGUCACGGUCAAAGUCUGUAACGAAUUUGGAGUAGCCAUACCAGGUGUAAUGACUUUGGGUGGAGGAGCACCACCAAUCGAUGAGUAUAGAAGUGUGAUUUACUACCACGAAGACAAGCCAAAGUGGUUUGAAACUUUCAAAGUAGCAGUGCCAAUAGACGAGUUCAAACAAGCCCACCUCAAGUUCACGUUCAAGCAUCGCAGUUCAAACGAAGCAAAAGACAAGGCAGAAAAACCAUUUGCAUUAAGUUAUGUGAGAUUGAUGCAACCGAAUGGCACUACGCUUCAAGACAUUAGGCAUGAAUUAUUAGUUUACAAACUAGACCAUAAAAAAUAUGAAGAAUCGGACACGAGUUAUUUAGAUUUGCCAUCGACACAAGGAGCAUUGGAAGAACGUAAUGCGGAAAAGAAACCAACUUUGGGACCAUUCACUCUGAGUUCAAAAGAUAACUUUUCAAUUGCAACAAAUGUUUGCUCAACAAAGCUAACGCAAAAUGUUGAUCUACUGGGAUUAUUAAAUUGGGCUUCGAGUCACACAGACUUGAAAGAGUCACUCACCGCUCUGAUGAAGGUCGACGGAGAAGAAGUCGUUAAAUUCUUACAGGACGUUCUGGACGCAUUAUUCGCCAUCUUGAUGAGCAAUUCGGACAGCGAUAUGUAUGAUGAUAUGGUAUUUGGAUGCUUAUUAUACAUAAUUGGACUGGUAUCAGAUAGGAAAUAUCAGCACUUUCAGCCUGUACUGGAUUUAUACAUUUCCGAAAGUUUCUCAGCAACUUUAGCAUAUAAAAAAUUAAUAACAGUGCUACGUAAGAGGAUAGAUAGUGCUAGCACGAACGACGUUCAAGAGCGAGAUCUCUUGCUGAGAACUAUGAAAAGUUUACAAUAUUGUAUGCGGUUUGUCGUUGAGUCACGACUUCUAUUUGCCGAGCUAGAUCAAGACGAGGAAGAGUUUUCUCAAACGCUAACAGAGCUUCUGAAAUCGAUAGUCGAUUUAAUGAGUCACGAAACUGACGGAACAUUGCUGGUUCAAGGCGCUUGCCUGAAAUACCUACCAACAACGAUUCCGCAUGUGUUACGAGUUUAUAGCGGAAAGCAAUUGAGCAUCAUACUGACUGAUCUCUUGCUCACCGUACCACCUGGCAGAUUAACCAAACAGAAAAUGAUGACGGUCAACGACAUAGUACAUAGCCAGUUAUUUUUGAGCCCAGAUUGCAGAGCUAUUCUUUUACCAACCAUCACCAUACUGGUUAAAAACCUCCUCGAAGCCAAGGAAGAGGGACUGUCAGGCACGCCGGGAAAGAGCGUGGCGAAGGUAGCCAGGCUGCUCGGCGAGAAUCGACACCGACUCAACCAGCACCGUGGCUAUUCGGAAGAGGUGGAAUUAUGUGUUAAAAUCUUGUCUGACAUUCUCGAGUUGACGUUUAGGAGUGACGUAGGCUCAACAGCCUCUGAUGUCAAGGAAAUAAUGUUGACUACUUUGAGAACAGUUAUUCAAGCAGUUAUCCCAAUGGACAGAGAAAAUCCGUUGGUCGGAAAUUUAGUCUCUGUGAUGUUAGCGAUUUUCAGGCAAAUGACGGAACCGCACUACGAUAUUUACAUAAAUCAUUUUGGCACAUCCUACGAUCUGCUGGAUUUUUUGAUGGAGAUAUUACAAGUAUUCAAAGACCUCGUAUCCAAUAGCGUGUUUCCCAGUGAUUGGUGUGAAAUGAUCAUGCUGCAGAACAGUGUGAUCCUUAAAUCACUACGAUUUUUUUCAAGAACAAUCAGAGAUUGUUUCUUCAAGGAUUUUGAACAGCAGGCUUGGUCUAAUUUCUUCCAUUGUGCUAUUGCUUUUCUGACCCAGCCAUCGCUACAGCUAGAUACAUUUAGCCCAACAAAACGCAAUCGAUUGGUAGCAAGAUACAAGGAUAUGCGAAGAGAAACAGCAUUUGAAAUUAGAUCUAUGUGGUUCAACCUUGGGCAGCAUAAGAUAAUGUUUGUACCCUCUCUUGUUGGUGCUAUAUUAGAAAUGACAUUAAUACCCGAAACUGAACUUCGAAGAGCCACCAUUCCGAUAUUUUUUGAUAUGAUGCAGUGCGAGUUUUACAGUUCUCGAUUUAGCGAAGGCUAUGGUGACACGAAACGUGAUCCAGCGCAUAUCAAAGGGAAUUUUAUGGAAUAUGAGAAUGAAAUGAUCGCCAAGUUGGAUAUUUUGGUGGAGGGUGGUAGAGGAGAUGAACAGUUCCGUAUUCUAUGGGUCCAAGUUAUGAGUAGUCUUUGCGAAGGUCAUUCAACCAUGCGUGAAAUGGGCUUACGAUUUGUCGACGUUGUCGCGAGGUUGAUGGAACGAUUAUUGCAAUACCGAGAUAUCAUCCAUGCUGAGUCUCAGGAACACCGUAUGCUCUGCACAGUCAACCUGCUAGAGUUCUACUCUGAAAUCAAUAGAAAAGAAAUGUACAUCAGGUACGUUAAUAAACUUUGUGAGCUGCAUCUGGAAUGCGACAAUUACACUGAAGCUGCGUACUCGUUGAAACUGCACAGCCAAUUGCUCGCAUGGAGCGAUCAACCGCUACCACCGUUGCUGCGUUCUCAUAGGUAUCCGAGUUGCCAGACACAUCGAGAAUUGAAAGAAGCUCUCUACUCCGACAUUGUUGACUAUUUUGACAAAGGGAAAAUGUGGGAAUGCGCUCUUGCUGCUUGCAAAGAGUUGGCGACUCAAUUUGAAGAAGAAACAUUUGAUUAUUCACGACUGUCUCUGUUACUGAAUAGGAUGGCUAAAUUUUAUGAUUCUAUAGUGAAACAGCUCAGGCCAGAGCCGGAGUACUUUAGGGUAGCUUACUACGGACGUGGCCAUCCUCCAUUUUUACAAAAUAAGGUAUUCGUCUAUCGUGGAAAAGAAUAUGAAAGGCUAAUUGAUUUUUGCACAAGAACUUUGAAUCAACUUCCAAACGCUGAACAAAUGAACAAACUCUCACCACCUGGAGAAGAUAUACUUGAAUCAGCUAGUCAAUAUGUCCAGAUCAAUAAAGUCGAUCCGUUAAUGGAUGAAAGACGGCAUCGUAUUAGUGGAAAGCCAGUCACAGCUGAAGCAGUUCUUAAGCACCACCGCGUGAAUGACGUUCAGAGAUUCAGAUUUUCGAGGCCAGCUCCACGGAGAGAUUCUACUAUAACAAAUUCUAUGACUUCCGAAAAAGAGCUUAAAGAUAAGGAGACUUCCAACAACGGUAAUAAUGAGUUCGCUUCCUUGUGGCUGGAGAGAACGGUACUAGUGACAAGUUAUCCUCUGCCAGGAAUAUUGCGGUGGUUUCCAGUGACCUCGAGCGAAACUUAUCUUGUAAGCCCACUAAAAAAUGCUAUUGAAACUAUGGAAGCUACUUACAAAUCUAUCAGAGAUCUCGUAAUCGCAUACAGAACGGACAAUACUCUGCCUUUGAAUCCCUUAAGUAUGAAACUCAAUGGAGUAUUGGACCCAGCAGUAAUGGGCGGUGUGGACAAUUACGAGAAAGCAUUUUUGAAUCCUGAAUACCGAGACUCUCAUCCUGAAGAUAGCUCCGACUUAUUAAAGUUAGAGAGUCUCAUAGCCGAGCAAAUUCCUCUACUUGGCAUUGGCGUUCAUCUUCAUAAACUGAGAGCUCCGCCUGAACUUACACCUUUUCAACAAAGAUUGGAGCAGUGUUUCUCAUCUAUGAGAACUCAUGUCGAGGACAAGUAUGGAAAGCGGACCUGUGAUCUUCACAUUGAAACCAUGACUCAACCAGUGACGAUGCGAAAGCAUCAAACAUCAAAAGGUGAAAAUCACCGAUUAUCAGAAGCGAGUGUUGUCAGCAAUGAUUGUGGAACUCGCUCCAGAGUAUCUUCACUCACGAAAUCACAAGUUUCAACACUCAAGUCAUUUGCAUCGUUCAAUUUGACCAACAGUUCGCCAAAUUCCGGUUCCACGAACAUCAAUCUAACGAGGGGUGUGGCUGCAGGUCCAGAUAAGAUCUCUCACAACGUGCUCCUAUCCUUUCUUCGCACUUAAGAUACUUUAAUUUUCCCUACCACUUUGCUAACUGUCAAUGAUUUCUUUUCGAUUUGCUCAACACUAGAAUGAAUUUUCUACCACAUAUAGUUUUAAUUUACAUUCUUAAUAUACAAGUCAUCCGAGUACAAAAUGGUUAUCAUACCAUUAUUAUGGGAAGUUUAAAUUCUUAUCAGAAAAACUCUCCGUGGCUCAAUUUUUUAUACGAUUGUUAAUGCUUAGUUAAUUAAUAACGAUUUUGUACAUAUAAGGCUAAUUCUUAAGUGACAAUACAGUCAUAAAGUAAAUAUUUCUUCAAACUGAACAGGUACUACUAUAAAAUGAGCUUAAUCUGUUUCGGUAGUUCAAACCGAGCAAUAUAUUGUAAAAAAAUCACCGACAAUUUUUUUCGCAUUUCUGUAACUUCGUGUCAACUCCAACACAACCGGUUUGCUCCUUAUUUUUGCUUUCUCACCUAAUCAUAAUUUUGUCAUGGUUUAAUAUUGUCACCUUUUAUACCUUUGUCCCUGAAACAGAACAUCACGCCUCAGCUAAGCGGCUUUAAUGAAACAGCUCAAUUCGUUCAAAUAUAUUAUCUACGGCCUCGCUGAAGGCUUUGAAAAAUUCGAGCCCUGGAACAAACAAGAAAAAAGAUGCCAA